GAUGAACGCUGGCGGCGUGCUUAACACAUGCAAGUCGAACGGGAAUUACUUUAUUGAAACUUCGGUCGAUUUAAUUUAAUUCUAGUGGCGGACGGGUGAGUAACGCGUGGGUAACCUGCCUUAUACAGGGGGAUAACAGUCAGAAAUGGCUGCUAAUACCGCAUAAGCGCACAGAGCUGCAUGGCUCAGUGUGAAAAACUCCGGUGGUAUAAGAUGGACCCGCGUUGGAUUAGCUAGUUGGUGGGGUAACGGCCCACCAAGGCGACGAUCCAUAGCCGGCCUGAGAGGGUGAACGGCCACAUUGGGACUGAGACACGGCCCAGACUCCUACGGGAGGCAGCAGUGGGGAAUAUUGCACAAUGGGGGAAACCCUGAUGCAGCGACGCCGCGUGAAGGAAGAAGUAUCUCGGUAUGUAAACUUCUAUCAGCAGGGAAGAUAGUGACGGUACCUGACUAAGAAGCCCCGGCUAACUACGUGCCAGCAGCCGCGGUAAUACGUAGGGGGCAAGCGUUAUCCGGAUUUACUGGGUGUAAAGGGAGCGUAGACGGUGUGGCAAGUCUGAUGUGAAAGGCAUGGGCUCAACCUGUGGACUGCAUUGGAAACUGUCAUACUUGAGUGCCGGAGGGGUAAGCGGAAUUCCUAGUGUAGCGGUGAAAUGCGUAGAUAUUAGGAGGAACACCAGUGGCGA
rnacentral:rRNA from 1 species